GACGAACGCUGGCGGCGUGCCUAACACAUGCAAGUUGAGCGACGAACCAGGGCUUGCCCUGGGGCAAAGCAGCGAACGGGUGAGUAACACGUGGGUAACCUACCCCGAUAACCGGGACAACCCGAGGAAACUCGGGCUAAUACCGGAUGUGCUCACUGGACUUCGGUUCAGUGCGCAAAGGAAGCUUCGGCCUCCGUAUCGGGAGGGGCCCGCGGCCCAUUAGUUUGUUGGUGAGGUAACGGCUCACCAAGACCGCGAUGGGUAGCUGGUCUGAGAGGACGAUCAGCCACACUGGGGCUGAGACACGGCCCAGACUCCUACGGGAGGCAGCAGUGGGGAAUCUUGCGCAAUGCGCGAAAGCGUGACGCAGCAACGCCGCGUGGGGGAAGAAGGCCUUCGGGUUGUAAACCCCUUUCAGGAGGGACGAAGGUUCGGCGGUGAAUAGCCGUCCGGACUGACGGUACCUCCACAAGAAGCCCCGGCUAACUACGUG
rnacentral:rRNA from 1 species